rnacentral:lncRNA from 1 species
UGUCACUGGACGGGGGGGUCUGUCACUGGACGGGGGGUCUCUGCCCGCAGGUGCCGGAGCUGGAGAAAGCCACGGUCCGCAUCCAGCAGCCGGAGCGGGUGCUGGGGAUCAUCCGCGCCAUCAAGGAGCAGGGGAUGAACAAGCUGCAGGUCAUUUCUGACUUCGACAUGACGCUGAGCAGGUUUGGGUGCAAUGGCAGGCGCUGCCCCACUUCGCACACUCCAGGCCACUUGCAGCUGCGGCUGCUGGUCCCUGGGCAGCCCACAGCCCGCUGCAGAAGCCUC